rnacentral:rRNA from 1 species
GCUAAUUCCGGGCAAGCAGCGGCGGUAAUACGGAAGGUCCGGGCGUUUUCCGGAGUUAUUGGGGUGAAAGGGAGCGUAGGCCGGAGAUUAAGCGUGGUGUGAAAUGUAGACGCGCAACGUCUGCACUGCAGCGCGAACUGGUUGCCUUGAGUACGCACAAAGUGGGCGGAAUUCGUGGUGUAGCGGUGAAAUGCUUAGAUAUCACGAAGAACUCCGAUUGCGAAGGCAGCUCACUGGAGCGCAACUGACGCUGAAGCUCGAAAGUGCGGGUAUCGAACAGGAUUAGAUUCCCCUGUAGUC